rnacentral:misc_RNA from 1 species
GAUAAACACUAAACAGUAAACAAAACAGAAACAGCUGCCGGAGGCCGUCGGGGGCUCGGGGCGCGUCUGCAGAAUCUUAACAAUACUGUUUCUUAAUUUUCGUCUCAAAAUUAUGCAUCCUUACGAGAAAAAUAAUUAUGAGCGUAGAAUUAUAGGACAUCACUUAGGUCAGAUUAGGCCAUAAUAGCUCCUUUGUAGUCACGAUUGUGUGUGUGUAUGUGUGUCAACUGGCUGUUGCCUGCAGUAGGCUGAGUAGAGGGAGGAGAGGAAGGUGGCUGUGGCACUGCCGAUAGAGGUAAUUUGUGUUUGGUGAGGACACAAAUGUUUGAAUGAGGCAGACUGACCACUCCACUGCACCAUGGAAACCAAAGCCAGUGAAGACAAAACAAUAGGAUCUAAGCAGCAGGUGAAGGAUCUGCUGACUCAUAUGGACCCCAUGAUAUACCUUGCAGGUACUGCUGACAAUACCUCUGAAAUGCUGAUGUACUUAGCAGACAUGGAUCCAUCCUUUCACAAGUUACACCUGGUCAAAAGCUUAAGGAUGGGGAUGCGAGAAAGUUUAACCAUUACUAUUGAAGAACAUGUAUCCCAUUAUCUUCAAGAACAAAAAGGAAAGAUGUAUGCUGAAAAUCCAGUUGAUUUCUUAGUAGAUAAAAUUCUUGGUGAUUCUAGAUAUGCAGACUUUGUCAGAGAUUCCAAGUUAAGCCUUGAGAACUCCAUUCAUAACAUUUCUGAAAAUUUUGAUGAUGAGAUUGUAACUGGAAUGUUUGGUAAUGAUGAUGAUGAUCCCACAUAUAGUGUUAGUCCGAAUGAGUCCAAUGAAUCCUCUCUAAAUUCCUCCCUCAAUCAGUCUGGGCUUAUGUUCCUGCACCCAGCUCAGUAUGACAAUAUAGCAGAAAGCCUGACGGGCAAGAGAGAAUAUGAGUCACGAAAUGAUUCAUUGAACAUCCUUAUUUCAGUAAGCCCUGGGGAACCAGUGAUGCAGGAUGGCUGGCCUGACAUUCGUAAGGGAUUAAGGGACUGUCUUUUUGAAGAAUGUGAUGAAAUAUUUGACAAGUCCUUGAAAGUUCAUUGCCGGCUGCUCACCUCCCAGGUGCACAAUGCUGUUAAGGAAGCAUAUUUGAACCUUCUAGAUGCUGUAGCAGGAUUUUAUUUUUCCAAGCAGCAUGUUGCUAAGAUUCCUGUCAGAGGAGAAAAGAUUCAUUUGAAGACCUCUGGAAAUUUUAUAAGAAUCCUUAAAAUAUUGAUUGAAUUUCAAAAUGAAUUACCUCUCAUUUGGAUUAGAUAUCCUGAGAGAUAUGUUGAUGACAUGGUAGAAGCCACAAUAAGACUCUUGGCACUGCAGCCUCCAUGUCGGGAUCUGCAGCUGAUGACAGUGCUGGACAUGUACAGUGUGGUGGAUCCUGAUGCCUCGUGGCUGAAAAGGUGGCUGCACGGGCAAUGGGGCAGGACUAAGACCUUUGCUGUCAUGAAGAGCAACUCAGUGGUGCUCCUGAACUCUGUGUCUCUCUCCAUCAAGUACUUGGAGAGCUGCAUUUUUAUCCCACAUUCAGAAGCAAGUGAAGAAUUUCUAAGUGCAGGCUUUGUUGCAUACUUGCAGUUUAUCCACAGUACCAAUCUUAUUUUGACUGUCUUGAGUUUUCUAGAUGGAAGGAAGCUUUUCCCAGUUAAUGUUCCUUAUAAGGAUGAACUGGUGACUGUUCAGGGGAUACUCCAGACACUGGUUAAAGCAAUAAAUAACAAUAUAUCUAAACUACUAACUUCAAAAAUUUGUGAUAUGCUGUGCAGGUUUUGCUGUAUGGAUGAAGCAAGAUGUUCAGUUGUUUGUGAUGCUGGUAUUGUAGAAACACUACUACAGGGAGUAAGUAGACUUGAAGAAGGGCAAGCAAAAGAAGAAGACUCAGAGUUGAAAGUUUUUUGCUCUUACAUCAGAGCCGUGUUGCUCCUACUUGAUGCUAUUACUUCAACACAUUUGGGUCAGAGGUACAUACUUUUGGGAAGGAAGAGAAAACCAAGCUCAAAGUCUGGAUUGUCUGGGAUUUCAAGUAAUCUGGCCAGUGAGGUGCUGGACCUGAUCCUGUUGUUGAUGAAAAGCAAGUGUGCUGGCUCUGAUCUAAAGCGACUCUGCAUAAGUAUCUGCAGCAGCCUUCUUGCCUCCCCAAUUGGUAUUCAUGUGUGCAUUGAUCAUCCUUUCAUGGAGGGUUUCCUUGGACAUCUUAAAGAAAGAAGUCGAGCAGGAUCACAUGCAAGGAUUUCACAAGGAGACGGUUGCAGAACCUGUGAGCCACUUGUCCUCAGUGUGCCUCAGUCACUCCCUCUGCUCACCACACUGCUGGUCUCCUUUAGGGGAGUGUUCCUGCUGGAGGGAGAAGGGGUGCUACCCCUUGCUUUGAGUCGGGUAAUGCCAGAGCGAGUGAGGAAGGGUGGCCUUACCUCAAGGAUUCUUGCACAUAUCUGUUCAUCCCAACAAGGUUGUUCUCUGCUGGGUAGCCUGAAUAUUGUUCGCCCACUGUGGGAUAUCUUGAGCCAGGUGGUGAGAGGGGAGGAGCAAGCUCAGGGCCGGCCACUCUUGCAAGAUGAGAGGGAGGAGGCCAUGGGGGAGGCAGUUGCCCCACUGCUGACACUCCUGGCCACAUUCCAAGGCACUCGUCUGGUCUUUAGCCGAGAGGGUCUGCAGGAGCCACUUUAUGAGGCACUCUUCUCUCCUGGUGAGCUUCAGUCUGAACUUCACACCAUCAUCCAGCAACUUCUGGUCUCUGCUACAGCUGUCCCAGAUGCUGUGGCAUUCCUCCAAGCUUCCAUGGGAUAUCAGGAACAACUUCUUGCACAACAAAAGCAAAUGAGGAUUGGAGAAGGCGAUGCUAUUUCUGUAGAUGAAAACUCCAUCCUUCGCAACCACAUUCUGGUGAAGUCAUAUUUACUUGGUGGCAGUGGUGAGAAGUUGCUGCCACCACACACCUUAGACAACAUCACUCCCUCCAACACACCUGUACUCUUCAGUCAGUAUCCUCCCCCAAGAGAUUACAUUCCUGAGAAGCCCAUCCGCUCCAUGCAUAAGAAGCAAAAUGAAGUGUGGCGCUUCCUAUCAGACACACGCCACGGCCUGCAUGAUGUGGGUUGGUUAAGUCACUGCCGCAAAGCUGUCUGCUCUGUCUUGAAAUCUGGAGAAGAAAUUAAGAGUUGGCUUGUCAUGGACCUCAUAGAUCGAACAGUUCGUGCUCUCCUUUCAUGCCCUGAGGAACUUCUGCCUGGGUUCCAAGUCCCUCAGCCUCCCUCCCCAGGAGCUGCCUUAGGUCUUGCCUCUCCUACUGUUCCCUCUAAGGGAUGGAGCUUUUCCUCAGGAUCAUCAUCAUCACCAGUUGGCAGUGAGAGUCUUCAGAGCCUCUACAGGAGCAAAAGUUCUGACUUGCAAGAACUUCCAGAGUAUCAUUGUCUUGCUUCUGAACUUGUCUUACGGUAUGGAAGUGAACUGCAGCUCCUUAUUGCCAGUGGAAGCAUCAGAGAGAACCUGAUGGAUGUGCUCAAGUACACACAAACCAGUGUUCUUCAUGGCCCAUGUGACAAGUGUGACUGGUUCACACAGGCACUCUUCCUUGUGUAUGGAGGCAGCUUUGAUAGGUGUGUUGCUGCCCUCACCAGCCUGGGAGGGUUGGUGGCUGGAGCUGUGCUGUGGCCAGCCCUUGCAGACUCCCUCUCACACACCUACAAGAUACUUCCUGGAGAGAUGGUCCUUGCUGGCAUCAUUCAUAAUGUUCAGCUCAUUGUCAGCAUAGAAAUUCCAACACUAUACAUGGCCUUAGAGGUAUGUCAUGGACUCCUGAUAGUGCCAUUACCGUGCCAAUAUUGUUAUUAUCAAUCUGUGCGAAUUUCUCUACAAAGAAAAAGUCCCUUGUAAUCCCAGUGGUUGGUAGGCCAGCCAGCCAUCAUAGUCUGAGCAUCUAUGUAGGGAACACUGUAUCUGAAGUGAAUAACUUGAGACAAGUGUGAUCAAUGGAUGGCGUGCUGGUGAACAACUGGGCUUCAUGGAAGCACUAUGCCGCCGCCACCGCCGCACUGUGCUGCCUGCUCUCGUUAAGCCCUUGAACCUGUAGCAGCACCACCACCCUUAGGCACCUCUAGUGCUAGUGUGGCAACACAUUACAUUAUGCCAAAGCACAAAGAAGACAGUCAUUAAGGUAAUAUGUGAUGAGGCUUAGUGAGCUCCCAGGAUGUUUGUGCACACUCUACAAAUGUUAGGCUCAGAUAGGCUUUUAGUUUCAUAUUCCCAAAUGUUUUGUUUCAUCAUUUGUCUUUUUAGAGGCCACAUAGAUGAUGAGUUAUGUUUUCAUAGUGUUUCCUCAUUGUUUUAGCAGAAUCCUUGUUAAAUUAUCAGUGAUAUUAUGAAAACACUCCUAGAAACCUCAAAAACAGCUUCUUAAAAGUAAGAGAUGAGAUUAUGAAAUAUCUGAGAAUACUGUCUUUAAUAUUCUGAGUCAUAAUGAAGAUUAUGAAAUUUUAUUGAUGAGACAUAUUUUCUCUACUGUAUAUGUGUAGGAAGUGCCUGUCCCUUAUUCCAUUCCACCCAAUCCAUCCACUUGUUCCUUAUUUUGAUUCUAUACAUUCCGUCCAGUCAUAGUGAUAGGUGUAGAAGGAAGGUGCUCCAGUAGCUGUACAUCUGUCUAUCUGUAUGCCAGGUGUAGACAAGGUGUAGAUACACUCACACACAUCAUUUACACUCCUAGCCACAUCGACCGUCAAGUGGAAAAGGAUAGUUUUGUGGCCCACUAUACUACACCCCACAUAAUACUACAUCCUGUUGUGAUAUAUGAUAAAAAAAAAAAAAAAAAAAGUUCUGAGUGUCAGGAUUGAGGAUAUCUAUAAAACUCUUGCUGGUGAUAAAGUGGAUAUUGAAUCACUCCAGUAAUUAUAAAGAAAAAUAGUUAUAUAUAUAUAUAUAUAUAUAUAUAUAUAUAUAUAUAUAUAUAUAUAUAUAUAUAUAUAUAUAUAUAUAUAUUUUCUCAUGACUAAUGAUUUACCUUACAAGUAGGUUUUACUAGUCACCAUUAAUAAGAUCUAGUCAUCAUAAUUCUAGUCACAUCACAGAAAUAAAGUCAUGUUUUGAUA